rnacentral:snRNA from 1 species
CUAGAGUGCACCAAAAAAAAUUCUGUUCUUAUGUUCCCCUAUCGGGGGACUACAUAUUAAAUGGAUUUUUCGAACAGGGAGUCGGAAAUGGGGCUUGCUCCGUUCGUUCCACGCAUCGACCCGGUAUAGCAGUACCUCCGGAAACGGUGCAACACUU